rnacentral:rRNA from 1 species
UACGUAGGUGGCAAGCGUUACUCGGAAUCACUAGGCGUAAAGCGCAGGUAGGCGGUUCGGUAAGUCUCUUGUGAAAGCUCCCGGCUCAACUGGGAGAAGGUCAAGGGAAACUGUCGGGCUAGAGUGUGGCAGAGGAUGCUGGAAUUCCCGGUGUAGCGGUGAAAUGCGUAGAUAGUCGGGAGGAACACCUAUGGCGAAAGCAGGCAUCGCUGGCCAUCACUGACGCUGAGCUGCGAAAGCUAGGGGAGCAAACAGG